GGAAUAUUGGACAAUGGGCGCAAGCCUGAUCCAGCCAUGCCGCGUGAAGGAAGACUGCGCUCAGCGUUGUAAACUUCUUUUGGAUGGGAAUAAUACUGUCGACGAGAUCGGCAAUUGAAGGUACCAUCAGAAUAAGCACCGGCUAACUCCGUGCCAGCAGCCGCGGUAAUACGGAGGGUGCAAGCGUUAUCCGGAAUCACUGGGUUUAAAGGGUGCGUAGGCGGUUUGAUAAGUCAGUUGUGAAAUCUCGUGGCUUAACCAAUGAAAUUGCGAUUGAUACUGUUGAACUUGAAUCAGGUUAAGGUAGGCGGAAUGUGGCAUGUAGCGGUGAAAUGCAUAGAUAUGCCAUAGAACACCGAUUGCGGAGGCAGCUUGCUGGACCUUGAUUGACGCUGAGGCACGAAAGCGUGGGGAGCA
rnacentral:rRNA from 1 species